UUGUCGUGGAGAACACAACUUUGAACAUGUACGAAGGUUUUCUCUCUCUGAGGGUCAAGUUGCUUAAAGAUAGAGCAUCAUACCCAUGUAUUAUUUGGACAGGCUAAUGAGGUAUGUUUUUUAUGACAUUGGCCAACUAGCAUCAUAAAUAAUAAGUGUUUCUUGCUUGAAUUGACAUGGAAAAAUUGAAAAUCGAGUAUUUUUUCGUUUGUAUUUUUUGAUUGUAGAUGGCCUCUAAAAUGAAAUAUUUGUCCAUGGUACCUUGUUCCUCCUAGGUUUUUUUCCUUGUAUUUUAUUUUUAAAACAUUGGUUUCAGUGUUUUCUUAGAAGUUUGUGAGUCAUCUUCCAUUUUCUAACAAUAUAAUGGUCUGAUGCUAUUUGGAUGGUUCUUCUGCACCUAGCAUGACUGGUUGAGAAAUACGUUAAUUCUGUGGAUAUCAAUAACACUGUGUAUUACCAAGUUAUGCAAGUAUUAGGUGGUACUCCUUGUUUGGCCAUUCCAUCAUUUUGUUGCUACAUGAGGCAUUUCAAGAUUUUUUUUACAGAAUUUCACCUUAGCUUUACCUUCAUUUGAUGUAUGCGUUUGCUUUUUCAUAUCAAAGAAUGCAGCCCCUUGCAAACCUUCAUUCAUGCUAUUCUGAACCUGAAGAUCAUGAUUCAACAGAGCCUGAUCCCUCCAAUACAGAGUGCCUUCUCUUAGCCAGAGGAAUCAGAUCCUGCUGUCAUGGUGUCAUGCGACGAAGUGGCGCCGUGUUGUUGUCGACACUUUUGCUUUCUGUAUGGACUCGUGUAUUUACAAUCGGAGUCAAAGGUCUCAACUCUCAAUUUACAUACAUGGACAACAUUCAACUCUACUCAUUU
rnacentral:lncRNA from 1 species